rnacentral:misc_RNA from 1 species
GAUGAAGAACGCAGCGAAAUGCGAUAAGUAAUGUGAAUUGCAGAAUUCAGUGAAUCAUCGAAUCUUUGAACGCACAUUGCGCCCGCUAGUAUUCUGGCGGACAUGCCUGUCCGAGCGUCAUUUCAACCCUCAAGCCCCCGGGCUUGGUGUUGGGGAUCGGCGAGCCUCCGCGCCCGCCGUCCCCUAAAUCUAGUGGCGGUCUCGCUGUAGCUUCCUCUGCGUAGUAGCACACCUCGCACUGGGAAACAGCGCGGCCACGCCGUUAAACCCCCAACUUCUGAACGUUUGACCUCGGAUCAGGUAGGAAUACCCGCUGAACUUAAGCAUAUCAAUAAGCGGAGGA